rnacentral:lncRNA from 10 species
GAGCCUCAGUGCCCAGGCUAGACUGGGGUCUGGCCACGUGGGCACCUCCGCCUGGCACGAAACAAAAUUCCAGACCCCCAGCAGGAAAGCAGGUGCCAGCGUAAAGCACACGGUUUGCGCAGAUUGAGCCAGUGAGGGGGCCUCAUGAGGCAGGGCUUGGUCCAGGCCCCCGCAUGCCAGCCCAGGUCUGAUCUCGCCAGGGACCUUCCCUUGGAUGUCAGUGGACAUGAGCUGUCGUCUCAGCCUCACCUGGACCUGUCUGUUUUCCAAGGUGGUCACAUUGGCAGGGGUCACAGCUUUAAGGGGAUGCCCUAACAUCCUCUUCCUUUGACCAGGCACUGCUUCAUCUAAAAUCACAAAUGGGCCAGGCAUAGUGGCUCACGCCUGUAAUCCCAGCUAUUUAGGAGGCGGAGGUGGGGGGAUUGUUAGGGCCCAGGAGUUUGAGACCAGCCUGGGCAACAUAGUGAGACCCCAUCUCUAAAAUAACAAAAGAAUGCAAUGUAAAACAAUACAGUAGAAUACAAAAAUAAUCGGAGGUAUGUCCUGCAGAGGUCUCUGGGACCCACUGGGACCUGAAC